rnacentral:rRNA from 1 species
GUGAGGAAUAUUGCGCAAUGGAGGCAACUCUGACGCAGCCAUGCCGCGUGCAGGAAGAAGGCGCUACGCGUUGUAAACUGCUUUUAACCGGGAAGAAACCCCAGGACGUGUCCUGGGUUGACGGUACCGGAGGAAUAAGCACCGGCUAACUUCGUGCCAGCAGCCGCGGUAAUACGAAGGGUGCAAGCGUUAUCCGGAUUCAUUGGGUUUAAAGGGUGCGUAGGCGGAGCGUUAAGUCAGUGGUGAAAUCCUGCAGCUUAACUGUAGACUUGCCAUUGAUACUGGCGCUCUUGAGUGCGCUUGAAGUGGGCGGAAUGUGCCGUGUAGCGGUGAAAUGCUUAGAUAUGGCACAGAACACCAAUUGCGAAGGCAGCUCACUAAGGCGAUACUGACGCUGAGGCACGAAAGCGUGGGGAUCGAACAGGAUUAGAAACACGGGUAGUCC